UACGGAGGAGGCUAGCGUUAUCGGAAUUACUGGGCGUAAAGCGCACGUAGGCGGCUUUGUAAGUUAGAGGUGAAAGCCCGGGGCUCAACUCCGGAACUGCCUUUAAGACUGCAUCGCUCGAAUCCAGGAGAGGUGAGUGGAAUUCCGAGUGUAGAGGUGAAAUUCGUAGAUAUCUGGAGGAACACCGGUGGCGAAGGCGGCAUCCUGGACCGGCAUGACGCUGAGGCGCGAAAGCUA
rnacentral:rRNA from 1 species